CUGGUGCUAAGAUUGAGCACCGGAUACAUAGUGUUCACAACCGGAAGGCUAUGGUGGUUUGUCAGAAUGGUUGAGAUAGAUUUGCAGUGGAAAGUUACAAGGUGGAUUGGAAGAAAUCGAGGAAGAAGAAACAAGCACUGCAUCCAAAAUGCUUAGUGGCUUUCGAACUGAAUCCAAGGGAAGGUGCACCUCAGCUUCUGUAAGAUUUAACUAGAAAGAGUUUGGUCUUUCUUUUGCAAAAUCUGUGGCUUUCGGUGUUAUCUUUGA